UACGUAGGGUGCAAGCGUUGUCCGGAAUUAUUGGGCGUAAAGAGCUCGUAGGCGGUCUGUCGCGUCUGCUGUGAAAACUCGGGGCUUAACCCCGGGCCUGCGGUGGGUACGGGCAGGCUAGAGUUCGGUAGGGGAGACUGGAAUUCCUGGUGUAGCGGUGAAAUGCGCAGAUAUCAGGAGGAACACCGGUGGCGAAGGCGGGUCUCUGGGCCGAUACUGACGCUGAGGAGCGAAAGCGUGGGGAGCGAACAGG
rnacentral:rRNA from 1 species